AGGAUGCUGCUUCACAGAAACAUUGCUUCUCACACUAGCUCUUCUUACAUGUCAGGAGAUUUCUGCUGCUUUACAGCAACAUCUUUGUCCAGCUAAGAACUGGCAAAACCCAUGCAGAGAAUGCAGAUGGCCCUGGAGAUUAUUCAAGGACUGAAUUCUAACCCAAGACCCUCCAGAGGAAUUAAGCUCUUCUGUUCCCAGGCGUUACUGUAGCAAUCAGUUCCAGAGCAACUUCCAGCUACUAUUGCAUCCUUCAGAUUACAAAGUACAGCACCAUAUGCUGUGAUCCACCUGCUCAUUUCAGAAAGUCAAAUGACUACAGAGAAAAAGACGUGAAAAGCUUUUACUGAGAUAAGAGAUGUUAUCAGCAAAAUGGGGAGCCGGUGGAUAUUAUGUAUUUCAAUUUGCAGAAGACUUUUAAUAACAUCCCUUUGAGGAGCUUCAAGUGGAGGGAUAAAGCUGUAGGAACCACCUGUUUACAGCUUCGUUCAACUUCCUUUUAGCAGUAUCUGCCCAUCCCUGCUUUUAAAAUAAUAAAUGCAUUUGCCACUGUGCUGCUGGAAACAUGUAAAGUGUUUCAAGUCACUUUAGCUACGGACCCCUUGUGUAAUUUUUCAGAAGUUAUCAUCUGUCAGUGUUAUGCAAAUGAAUACUUUAAGCAACAUCCCACCUAUAUUAAAAGCGAAAUACUGCAGAUGCUGGAAAUCUGAAACAAAUACAGAAAAUGCUGGAGAAACUCAACAGGUCUGGAGAGAGAAACACAGUUAAUGAUUUAAACCCAGUAUAGCAAUUAUUUGUGCUCCA